GUUUUAUGAGUAUAUCAGUACGCUCAGCUUCCAACUGAGAGGUUUUUGUGUAAAUCAAGAAUGAGGCA
rnacentral:tRNA from 1 species